GUCGCACCUUUUUGCGUUUUUCUCGGUGAAUAUGCAGUACACGAGUCGUGGCCCAGGAUUCUGAAAUUCUUCCUGCCGGUGUCCAUAGCCCUUCAAUCUCCAUGGCUGGCUCAACCACCAGGCAAUCUAAGCGUCGAAUGAGUACUUCUUCAAUUGUUGUUCAAGUGCAGGAUUGGGAAGAUGGAUUUAAUGAUACAGCAACCUUAUGCAAGAAAAUAUAUGCUGAGCAUGAAAACCUUUGCUUGGGUAUUAGUAGGGAACAAUGUUGAAGAGAAUCCAGAUGUUGUGGUAGCUAUCUCAUCGACCGAUGACUUUGUUUCUCCCCCUGUUGUCGUGUCCAAUCCUACCCAAGUAGACCCGCGCUUCGGACGCUUCAGAUGAUGGGCUUGCUGUGGAUGGCGUAAAACUCUUCCCGGCUUCACGUUUCCUGGGAUUUCCCUUGGACGGUUGUGUAUUGUUCCUUUUUUUUUCCUGGUAAAAAAUGAUGUUACAGCCUCGCGCACAUGCCCAACUGUACUACUGCACACGCCAAAAACUCAAAAAGAAAUAAGAUGGGUAUCAUAAGCACUGUAAUGGGGUUUUCUUAUUUUUGGAUUUGGGAACACAUUUUGGAUUCUGGCUGGCAAUGUCAUGGUUAGGUUUUUUUUUUUUUUUG